AGAUGCUUGCAUCAGUUUCGUGGUCACCUUGACAUGGUGGGGGUCGUUGGUUCGAGUCCAAUCGCGCCUACCA
rnacentral:tRNA from 1 species